rnacentral:lncRNA from 1 species
AAAGUUUCCUUCUUUCAGCUCCUGAUCAAGGCUCUCAAUGUUUAUUGCGCACAAUUUCAAAUCUUCUGUAGGACUAGUGUAUUCCAAAUUGCGCCACCUCAAUCUCUCAACCAUGGCUACAUUCGGUCGAUCCACAAGCACUGGAGAUAUGAUAGCUGUUGCUCAGAUGAAUUCUACAAAUAGUAAAACAGAGAAUUUAGAAACUUGCAAAACAUUGAUUAGCAGAGCAGUGGAACAAGGUGCCAAAAUGGUGUUUUUGCCUGAAGCCUGCGAUUAUAUUGGUAACAGUCAUGAAGAAACGGAGAGCUUAGCAGAACCUCUGAACGGGCCUUGGUUGAAAAGUAUCCAAAGAGAAGCUGAGUCCAAAAAAAUAGGGUCUCGCUCGGUGGUUUUCACGAAAAGGCAAGUAAUCUAGAAUCCCUCACAUUUCAGCACCCAGCAACAAAUAAGAGAGGAGGAACCUUGCUCUUGUCACAAUAUUCAUGCAAUUUGAAUUUUAUUUGCUGUAAGAAUCGAAAUUCUGUUUUUGAAGUGCAAAAAUUUUAGCAUUUGCUAAGGAAGUCAUGGCCAUGGGGUUCUUCUUUUAGACAAAUUUUGAAAGACCUCUCAGCUAUCUAAUUUUUCAAUUACACUCAGUGCUCCUUAAAAUGUUUUAAAUAAUUUUAAGAAACCGUUACCUAUUACUCAGCCUAAAACCACGUGUAAUAAUCAGAUAGUAAAUGCAAUACGUUGAGCUUAAUAGUUCAUUGCCCAAUAGCUUGAAAAUAGCUUUGAAGCAAGACUCGGAAUGUAUCCACAAAGUUCUUGUUUAAUGACAGUGAAGAGUUUUGUUUCCCUGGAAAUUGCGAGAUUUUGUAAUGAUUUUUUUUAAAGAAAAUUUUCAUUACAUUUUUGAGUAAUGUGUUUGGAAUUCUGUAGAACUUUAGACAAAAUAGGUAAUCCCUAAUCUAUGAUCAGCUUACACCAAGUUUCUUAAGUGAAUUGGUUCGUGCGAAAACAUCCAAUACCUGCAGUUCAGUUUCUAGAAUUUGCAUGGGGCGAUUUCACCAUAACGUAUGAUUGAAAGUUGGUUUAAAAUACUAUAGAUGUAGAGAUAUUUUAAAGAAAUUUCCAAAAGAACAAAUAAAAGUUUACUCAGGACAUUAACUUCAUUAAUUAAUGUUGUAGGGGAGAACAAGUCUCUGUGAUUUUGAGAAAGUGCACUAGGGUAAUCAACAUCAGACAUUUUUGUACUAGCCGAUUCACAAAUUAACUUUUUGGU